UUCGGAGUCGGAAUAAAGUCCUCCAAUUUGAAUGUGAAAUAGAGCAGAAAAUUCUCUCUCUAUUCUUAUCGUUUAGGUUCAAGCGCACUAUCGAGGCAGCCACAUUACGGCAAUAAGCGACGGCACGACUUACGAAACAAAGGACAGUCAAUGGCGCCGUACUCUACAGACAUUACAUUAAAACAACAGCAUUACGCGGGUAAUGAGUGAUCGAUGAGACGUGACGGGCGGACGGAGGCGAUCAGGGUAUACGCUAAAAGAACGGUGAUUGGGUUAGCGGGAUGGGCGACUUGAAUACCAAACGUGGAGAAGCAGGAAGCGAACGGAGAGGGACGCACGAAGGACAGACGAUACUGGGCAGGGUUAUAGAGCGUGGUGUUAGCUUUUGGGUCAGGGGCGUAAACAGAGAGGGGUGAAUGGUUAGCUUUUGGGUCAGGGGCGUAAACAGAGAGGGGUGAAUGGUUAGCUUUUGGGUCAGGGGCGUAAACAGAGAGGGAUGAAUGGCUAGCUUUUGGGUCAGGGGUGUAAACAGAGAGGGUGAAUGGUUAGCUUUUGGGUCAGGGGCGUAAACAGAGGGGUGAAUGGCUAGCUUUUGGGUCAGGGGCGUAAAUAGAGAGGGGUGAAUGGUUAGCUUUUGGGUCAGGGGCGUAAACAGAGAGGGGUGAAUGGUUAGCUUUUGGGUCAGGGGCGUAAACAGAGAGGGGUGAAUGGUUAGCUUUUGGGUCAGGGGCGUAAACAGAGAGGGGUGAAUGGUUAGCUUUUGGGUCAGGGGCGUAAACAGAGAGGGGUGAAUGGUUAGCUUUUGGGUCAGGGGCGUAAACAGAGAGGGGUGAAUGGUUAGCUUUUGAGUCAGGGGCGUAAACAGAGAGGGGUGAAUGGUUAGCUUUUGGGUCAGGGGCGUAAACAGAGAGGGGUGAAUGGUUAGCUUUUGGGUCAGGGGCGUAAACAGAGAGGGGUGAAUGGUUAGCUUUUGGGUCAGGGGCGUAAACAGAGAGGGGUGAAUGGUUAGCUUUUGGGUCAGGGGCGUAAACAGAGAGGGGUGAAUGGUGUGAAUAGAGAGGGAAAGGGAGAGUGGCGUAGAUGGAGGAAGGGAGAGGCUCUGCUGGGUACACAUAUUUCCAAACAUUUCGGAGCUUACACACCCACAUUUUAUAGUCUUUUUUAGCAGUUGUGGACAUAUUUCCAUUGGUAGUUUGACGAGCCUAGUGGUAGUUUGACCAUUUUUCUGUACCAUGAACCUGGAAAAAACCACUCAUUAGAACCCGAUUGAUCUCCUUUUUUUGACUUUGGGACUAAUUGAUGUGAGAGGCGGAAACUUAGAGAGGGAGGGGGAGAAAGGGUUUAGAUGGAAAGGGUUGAAAGGCGUGAAUAGAGAAAGAGGGAGGAGGAGAAAGGGUUUAGAUGAAAGGGUUGAAGGGCCCUGAUAGAGAGAGAGAGAGUGAAGGGAAAGAAAGGGCUUAGACAGAAAGGGUUGAAAGGCCUGGAUAGAUAAAGAGGGAGGGCGAGAAAAGGCUUACAUGGAAUAGAAAGGGUAAGAGGCCAGGAUACAGAAGGGUAGUUGUAAGGCCUUGACAGACGAAGGGGGAUUGGGCUGAAACGAGAGAGGGACAGAAAGGAGGCUGGGUGACGGAUUGGGUUGGGGAAUAUGG